UCCUAUGAGAGGCACUGUGGCCUGAUGGAUAGGGAGCUGGCCUCAGAGUCUAGAAGGCUUAGGCCCAAGGCCUGCCUCUGACACAUAUCAGCUAUGUGACUGUGGGUGAGUGAUUAAAACUCUCAGUGACCCAGACAGCUCUCUAACUGUAGGUUAUAGAGGUGCUCAUCUGUAUCAGUAGAGGAAACUUCCACACUUGGAGUCACUCACAUCAACGAGCUCACAGGCUGCACACAGGAUUCCCUGGUAUUCCCUAUCUGACCUCCCUCCAAGUCUCACAUCAGUGAUUCCCGCUUCUAAGCUCUAUUCUCUGAUGCCUUUCUUGUUGACAUCUCUCUCUGCUUCUUCAGUCAACAAUCACUCAGUCCCAAGCAAGGCUACUUCCGAUGUAUGAAUUCCAGUGCUAGAGUGAGCUUCCAGGAUGAAGAAUUUUCUAAGGAAUGGUGGAAGAAGUCCAAAGUGCAGCCUGGAAAGAAGUUACUAUCCAGGAGCUGAGACACUCAGGUUGGGGACCAGGCCUCAGCUUCCCCAAAGGCCCUGGCUCCCCCAGUCAGUCAGCGACAGCCAUACCCACUGCAUCUUGAGAGACCCUUAGUCCAAAGUGAAUGACAUGGGGGAGAAGGAACCAGAAUGGGAGUAGAUGUGAGUCCAGGCACAACCUCUCCUGGCUUCCAGGGGACUCGUCACCUGGACAGCAGAAGCUACUGGGAGAGGAUGUGCCUUCUCCAGGUGGCCUGGACCAAGAAAGAAAAUAAGAAGGUUUUUAAGAAACUAUCCCAUGUGAGAGCUAUGUAGAGGCCAUGGAUGACCCCCCUUCACUCCCCCUCCCAAGC